CGAGCCAUAAUUAGGCACUGCAUGACGAAAUACCUUGUAUCAUAUAGAGUUAAAACUGGAACUAGGACACAUUGUAAAAGUAUCUGCAAACUGGUGCAGGAGAUAAAAACAAACCCUGCAGAGUUGACUGAGUGUGCAUAUUUGGGUAUGACACACAUUUUGAAUAGCAUCCGGUUUGGAAAGAUUCAUCAUCCAGACGCAGAACAAAGAGCAACAGCUAGGCAAUCAUUUUAAUGGAAGGAGACGGAUCUGUUUAGGGAUGGAAAGUCGCACGUCAUGCAAGACUGGGAGCUGCGAGCAACAGCGGGGAUCUGAGCCUCGGGUUCGUGCAAAGUGAGAGGAAAACUCAGAGAGUCUGGCCCACGCGGUGGAAUGGCGGAAAUCCUGGUCUGAUUGUGCUGCGGCGUUUGCUUGUGCUCAGACAGCUCCUAGGAAAGGAAUGUGUGGCCUACAUUCCCUCUCGAGCCCCCGCCUCUGCUUCACCAACACUCACUGUCAGCACGGCGAACUUUAAGAGGCUGCAUACCAAAAACAACAAAGGACGGAAACAUUCGAAGCACAUGGUCCUGAUUUACUGGCAUUUUCCGGAGGGGUGACAGGGAAGCGGUUUAUAAAAAAACAUACGGGACAGUGUUUGCUCUGCAGGUUUGAAAGCACUGCUAUGCAGUCAUUUAAGUCUGACACAGGAGGCAGGAAUGGGUUAAGUCUACUGCAGAGAGAGAAAGCGGAAAGGAGUGGUAUGGUGAGACAGAAGGGGUAGCGGUGGGGGUGGGGAAGGAGUGUGUGUGUGUGUGUGUGGGGGGGGGGGUCAGCGCUGCAUUCAGAUGAAAUUAAAUGGAGGCUAAAGUGCUGACUCAUUGCGUUCAGGCCCUUUAUUACCUGCUCCGUCACCCAGGCUUUAUGGGGUGGGCUGCCAGAAGAAGGCUGGGGGGAUGCAGCGGCAGCCCUCAUUUACAGGAACCCUUUUGGACGCAAUAACACUGCAGUCAGCCAGCCAGCCCCGCGGCUCACCUGCACUCUGCGAAAGCACCCUCUAGGACAACACCCCCAAAAAACACACACACACACACAUCCCCCACCUCUCUCAUUUUUGGCUAAACAGGAGGAAGCCUGCUUUUGCUGCUAAUGAGACAUCAAGGGGAGCUGGGGAAUCUGGGCUUGCUUUGUACAGGCUGGUCUGGUAGGCCGGUCUGUCAUGCUGUCUAGCGGAGGGCAAUUAUUUGAAUAUCCGCAGGAGUGCAGCUGGAGUGCCGCGGCUCAUCUUCAACAGCAAAGACGGCGAAAUUGCCUCACUCCGGCGGAUCAAGCACUAAUUGGACACUUGGCUGGCUGCACAUGCUGUAAAAUGGAUUUUCCCCCUGAAUCAACAGAAACAGCCCUCAGAAAUUCAACAUCAUGCCCCUGCCCUGCAAAUUAUUUCCAAGGCUUCUGUACAGAGUGUAGCAAACGGAAAGUCUGUGCUCGAGACUAAAUUUGUGUACCGCCUGAGGAAAAGAAACGGACCGAUAUCAUGUAUGCAGCAAGUUAUUGAAGCUGUCCCACUUUCAGCAGCGAACAGAUGCAGUGUCCUCGUUUCUUGUAUAGCAAAGCUCUUCUCUGUCACACACCUACACCAUGAUGUAAGUGUUGUUCACACCACAACAACACAUGCGUUUGUACCAUUCACGGAUCCCAUUACAGCACCUCACAGAGACAGACUAUAUGUCACACUGGAUUACACACCUCCUCAUGCAUGAAGACUUACUAAUACUGUACACUCCGAUUAUGAACAAAGAGGAAGGAGAUGCUUUUCUUUUUGAAAUUUGGACUCACCCCCCCUAACCUCAUUUCUAUUUUCCUCUCAUAGCUUCAGUCAGUUUGACGAAUUCUUGCUCAUUAAUCAUCAGCUGUUUCAGACUGUGUAUAUUCCUCUUUUUUACCGCUAUGUUUUGCAAUAUUUUAUGUAGAAUAUUGUUAUUCUUUUUCCAUAUUCACAAUCCUUUUCACUGUUCCUGAGUCACCUAGAGAAAAACUCUAUAAGACAAAACUUAAAGCUGCAUUAAUUAUAUAAUUGAUAACACAGGGAUGUCGCGAAAACUGAUACUUUGGUAUCAAUUCAAAGCCAAAAUUCUGAAAACGUGCAGGUACCCGUUUUUCUACAGUACCACAGGUACUGUCACAGACACCAGGCUCGAGAUCAACAGCGUCCCGCCGUCACGGGCACUAUAUAAAAUGUGUUUGGGACACAGUAAACUCACUAUCGACACGUCAAGGGGACAACGUAUUUUUUUCCAUGAUAAUUCUACAUUGCAAACAACAAAUCUGAGUUGACAUCAGCAGGACGAGAGCUAGUUAACGUUAGCUGUUAACUCUGUGCAGGACUGUGCUGAAAAAAGACCAGGAAACGCUGGAUAAAACACAUCAUGUAAGAUAAUGUUUCAUUUGUGCGUGGAUCAUAGCUAAGUUAGCUAGCUGGCUAGCGUUGGUGACGUAUAUUGUACAAGAUGAGAAAUGUAGCUCAAUGAGCGGUUUCGCACAAAACGAAAUCAUACUUCGACAAACCUACGACAAACUGAGACUUUUUUGAGUCUGAGUGAAAUAUCUCAAUGACAGCUUAAUAUUCCAUUAUGUUUACUAGCUAACCAUGGUGAGAGUGAACCAAAACAGUAACGUUGCAGCCCAUAAAACUAAAAUAAUGAGCUGAAAGAUGCUAAAAUGCAGUUAAAUGAGUCAGGUGAUAAUUGCUCUGAGGGUUCGUCAAAGGGCUGGGCAAUAUGACAAUACGUAUGUAUCGUCAAAACGAUAUAAAAAUGUGUAUUGUAUAUAUUUUUAUUUUA